CACGAAACUUGCCCCGAGAUGAGUUCUCCCUGAGACUUAGAGUCUCCUGAAGGAACGUUGAAGACGACGACGUUGAUAGGCCGGGUGUGUAAGCGCAGCGAUGCGUUGAGCUAACCGGUACUAAUGAACCGUGAGGCUUAACCUUAC
rnacentral:rRNA from 1 species